UAUAUUUUGGUGUAAGGUGCACAGGAGUUUUUGAUUCUCUAAGUAUUAGUUUAAUUCUAUUAAAUAUAG
rnacentral:tRNA from 1 species